GCCUAAUAUACAUGACAUAGGCAUAUAUAGCAUAUUGUAAACUCAUCUGUAUCAAAAUAGGUUAAAUAUUGUAAAGAGAAUGCAAACCUAUGAUUCAUUCUACGCAAAGAUCAAUCAAACAACUUUCUGAUUUAAAUGAAGUUUCAAAACUGAGUAGGCAACAGCGAAUCUGCAAUUCCUGGAUCAUACGAUAUUGUUUUAUAAUGGGCUAUAUUCUUCGGAGAUCGCCGACUUUAAAAAAUACCGAAGAAAGAGUAUAUAAUACGACCAGUCUCAGAUCGGAUUUGAAAUUCCUGUCAUGCUCGUUUAUGUUAUGACGGUCUGACGAAAUGUUUAGAAGAUCGUCAAAUACGUCAUCCACUUUAAAAAGAUUUGCACCGCGGAGGAAUGAUCUAUGAACACUAUUUUGCGAUUUACUCAUCGGAAAAUAAAGUAUUCACGGGAACACAUUGAUUGUUAUAUGGAGAAGUAUUCAUCAGCAUUAUUGGAAGAGUGACUUCAAUCGUAUUCUCAGAAUCUAAAGUAUUCAUCAAGACUCUUGCUGAAACACAUUGCGUGAUGACAGUAGCGUUGUGAAACUGUGGUUAACAUCAAAUCUACAAAUUGUCGUUUUGGCAAAGACUGAAACAGGUCGAUCGCAUUGCAAGACAUCGAUGCGAUUUGUCAAUACAGCAGUCAAUCCCGAUCUCAACUGAUUUCAAGGUUCAGAAACUAUAUAACUGACACUAUUGAGACCGUCUAAAAUAAAUCCAACACUUCGAAACUAUAAAAAACUGAUCAGCACCCCUUCAGACUGAUUAUUUGAAUUUUGAGAAGACUAUAAAUGCAAACUAGAAACUUUAACACCGUCCGACUCUAACUUUCCGAAACUGAUUGGUACCCCUUAGACUCAUUCUGGGCCUUUUCAGCAGACUAUAAAUGCGCCAAACUCUAGAACUUUGUUGCACAAACUAGCAAAAACUAUUAAUGGAUUUUUCUUCAAUAAUUUGAUCUGAUAUUGAUAUCAAAUGAAUUCAGGAACUGAUUAUUACAGAAUAUGGAUUCCGAGGCUCAAGCCGACUUUCAACACUGUUUAACUUAGAAACACUGUCAUAUGCCGCAUUAUACUAUUAAUGCUGUCUAACUUGAAACUAUGAUCAGUGCAUUAGGUUAAGGCAUUAACAGUGAUUCAAUUAAUUUGUAUUGAGCUAUCUUACCACAAGUGUUACACCCUGAUCUUACGCACGCUCCCAACUUUGCGAAGAUUGUUGAAAUGCUUAGAGACAUAAGCUAUUAUUAGCUAAUGCUCUAAAUGUAAAUGGACCAUGGUUUUGUAGAACCCUGUAUUAUCAAUAUUAUGUAAAGUUUAUUAUUAUGUAUUCAAAUCUGUACAAUAUUUUAAUAAGAGUGUAUUAUUAUGAUUUUGAUUUAUGGUUUUCUUUUUACAAUUACGUUUUCGUCGUUUUUUGAAAUUGCUUUGGGUUGGGCUAUUUAUACGAAGUUAGAUGAUGAUGAAAAUGAUAUUUGCCCAACUCGUUGAAGUAUCAAGCUCUUGUGUAUGGUUUACAGCAAUUUUAUUUGUCUGUUGAUUUCCGUCAACCUUCGAAAUAUGUUACAAAGCAACGACUACGUAGGUUCAAACCGAUAAUUAUUAUUAAAUUUUGAACACCUUUGCCUUAGCUAUCGUUCAUAUUUUUUGUUCUUUUUUAGAAGAAUCGUAUUAUUCUAACUUUGCAUUGUCAAUAUUAUGUGAAAUUUGAUUUUAUAUAUUUAAAAUAUGGCCUAUUUUAUUUUAUGCAAUAUACAACUAGAUGAUUUUGCUUAAUGGUUUUUGCCGUACAAUUUAAACUUUGUGUUUUCGAAAUUUUUUAAAAUUGCUGUAGGGUUGAGGUGGGCUUAGUACACGAAGCUAUCCAACAUUUUUUUCUGUGUGUUGAUUAGAAGCCUCAGACCAUAAAAUGUCACAAAAGCUUUGUAUAAGAUCAUUCAGAUUCCAGUCGCAAAACCAAUCAGUUACUUCUUUAUUUGAACAUCUUUGCAUUUGAGAUCAUAUUGUGCUGCUUUGCUUUUAUAAGUUAUGUGUGUUGCUUUUUGUUGACAAGUAUCAUUUGUGCACAGAAUAGAUCUGUAUACUAGUUUUCAUAUGUUUUCCAAUGUUUAAUGUUUUGAAUCUAAUUUCUUUCUUCAUUAGACAGUAAAUAUUGUUGCCAAAUGUUACUUUUCUUGAAUAUGCAACUUGUUUGGUUACCUACUUCAUUUAUUUAAAUUUACCUGAUUUUCUCUUUGCAAUGUGUUGAUCGCUUUUUUUAAUUAAUGUUAAUUGCUGUAGGGUUUGGGUGGGCUCUUUAACACAUCAGCUGGAAUUAGUGUCCAGUUGCAUGAACUACAGCAAUUUAACUUAAAUUGUGUCUUGUUACUAUUCAUUUGAUUGAAUAAAACUGUCUUGUUAUUUUUUUUAAUUCAAUGAAAUUACUGAAAAUAAAAAAUAACAUUGGUGUGA